AUACUCCUGACUGACCGAUAGUGAACCAGUACCGUGAGGGAAAGGCGAAAAGAACCCCGGCGAGGGGAGUGAAAAAGAACCUGAAACCGUGUACGUACAAGCAGUGGGAGCACCCUUUUGGGUGUGACUGCGUACCUUUUGUAUAAUGGGUCAGCGACUUAUAUUCUGUAGCAAGGUUAACCGAAUAGGGGAGCCGGAGGGAAACCGAGUCUUAAUUGGGCGUUAAGUUGCAGGGUAUAGACCCGAAACCCGGUGAUCUAGCCAUGGGCAGGUUGAAGGUUGGGUAACACUAACUGGAGGACCGAACCGACUAAUGUUGAAAAAUUAGCGGAUGACCUGUGGCUGGGGGUGAAAGGCCAAUCAAACCGGGAGAUAGCUGGUUCUCCCCGAAAGCUAUUUAGGUAGCGCCUCGUGAAUUCAUCUCCGGGGGUAGAGCACUGUUUCGGCUAGGGGGCCAUCCCGGCUUACCAACCCGAUGCAAACUGCGAAUACCGGAGAAUGUUAUCACGGGAGACACACGGCGGGUGCUAACGUCCGUCGUGAAGAGGGAAACAACCCAGACCGCCAGCUAAGGUCCCAAAGUCAUGGUUAAGUGGGAAACGAUGUGGGAAGGCACAGACAGCCAGGAUGUUGGCUUAGAAGCAGCCAUCAUUUAAAGAAAGCGUAAUAGCUCACUGGUCGAGUCGGCCUGCGCGGAAGAUGUAACGGGGCUAAACCAUGCACCGAAGCUGCGGCAGCGACGUUUAUGCGUUGUUGGGUAGGGGAGCGUUCUGUAAGCCUGCGAAGGUGGCCUGUGAGGGUUGCUGGAGGUAUCAGAAGUGCGAAUGCUGACAUAAGUAACGAUAAAGCGGGUGAAAAGCCCGCUCGCCGGAA
rnacentral:rRNA from 1 species